rnacentral:rRNA from 2 species
UCCGUAGGUGAACCUGCGGAGGGAUCAUUACCGAGUUUACAACUCCCAAACCCCUGUGAACAUACCUUACUGUUGCCUCGGCGGAUCAGCCCGCUCCCGGUAAAACGGGACGGCCCGCCAGAGGACCCCUAAACUCUGUUUCUAUAUGUAACUUCUGAGUAAAACCAUAAAUAAAUCAAAACUUUCAACAACGGAUCUCUUGGUUCUGGCAUCGAUGAAGAACGCAGCAAAAUGCGAUAAGUAAUGUGAAUUGCAGAAUUCAGUGAAUCAUCGAAUCUUUGAACGCACAUUGCGCCCGCCAGUAUUCUGGCGGGCAUGCCUGUUCGAGCGUCAUUUCAACCCUCAAGCCCUCGGGUUUGGUGUUGGGGAUCGGCGAGCCUUUCUGGCAAGCCGGCCCCGAAAUCUAGUGGCGGUCUCGCUGCAGCCUCCAUUGCGUAGUAGUAAAACCCUCGCAACUGGAACGCGGCGCGGCCAAGCCGUUAAACCCCCAACUUCUGAAUGUUGACCUCGGAUCAGGUAGGAAUACCCGCUGAACUUAAGCAUAUCAAUAAGCCGGAGGAAA